UAUAGCCUUGCUUGGUCACAGCGGCUUGGUUGGUGAGGGGAAGGCAAGGGCGAACUAUGGUCUAUGGUCAAAUUAAGAAGAGUUAAGAAAGUUGGUUGAUUGGUUACAAAUUGGUUGGUUACAAUGUUGGUAUAAUGUUGGUGGGUUUCGAGUCUGUCGGUGGCUCAGAACCUUGGAGGUGUAGGGUAUCUGGGUAUACCCCUACCAGGAGGCAGUUAAGCUUUAUGUUGCACUUUAUUUAUG